GGAGAGGUGGCAGAGCGGUUGAAUGCACCGGUCUUGAAAACCGGAGGCUCCUUACGGGGCUCGUGAGUUCGAAUCUCACCCUCUCCGCCA
rnacentral:tRNA from 1 species